CAAUAGCGUAUAUUAAAGUUGUUGCAGUUAAAAAGCUCGUAGUUGGAUUUCUGGUGGGAGCGACCGGUCCGUCCGUCAGGAUGUGUACUAGUUGUUGCCUCUUGCCAUCCUUGGGGAGAGCGUGUCUGGCAUUAGGUUGUCGGGUUCGGGAUCCCCAUCCUUUACUGUGAAAAAAUUAGAGUGUUUAAAGCAGGCUUAUGCCGUUGAAUACAUUAGCAUGGAAUAAUAAGAUAGGACUUUGGUGGUCUAUUUUGUUGGUUUGCACACCAAGGUAAUGAUUAAUAGGGAUGGUUGGGGGUAUCCGUAUUUCGUAGUCAGAGGUGAAAUUCUUGGAUUUACGAAAGACGAACUACUGCGAAAGCAUUUACCAAGGAUGUUUUCAUUA
rnacentral:rRNA from 1 species